AUGCUUAUUUUGGUAGCACGAAUACUAAAUACUAUACAGAAAAGAUCAACAUGGCCCCUGUGUGAGGAUGACAACACAAAUUCAUGAAGCAUUCCAUAGUUUA